AUGGUAAGACAGAAGAUGUUGGCCAAGACGUCGCGAAUCGUUGCCCUCUGCUCCAUUGCCAACUUCAUCAAUGCCGCGGACCGAGUCAUCAUGCCCAUUGCCAUAGUGCCCAUGACAGAUGAGUACAAGUGGUCUCUUCAUUGGCAAGGAUGGAUCCUGUCCGCAUUUGCGUUUGGUUAUUUUACCAGCCAGAUUAUAGGCGCUUGUGCAGCUAACCGUUUUGGAGGCAAAUUAGUCCUUUUGUUUGCUGUGUUUCUGUGGUCUGUAUCAACCACUAUAACUCCUCUCCUGGCGACUUCAGUUCCAGCUCUUAUAUUCUGUCGGGUCCUCCUGGGCCUCGGUGAAGGAUUGGGAUUGCCAACAAUAUUUCACAUAUUUGCACAUAGUGUUCCCAUAGAGGAAAGAUCUCGCGCCUUUGGCUAUCUUGUUGCUGCAGGAUCUGUUGGACAAUUUGCAGCCUCUGUUUUGUGUCCUCAUCUUGCAUGGCAAACUGGUUUUUAUCUGUUUGGAACCCUUGGAAUUACGUGGGUUCUUAUUUGGUUAAUGUUAUACCAUGAUAACUCUAGUACUUCAGCUGAUGAAAUACCAUUAUUUGUUCCUAAGGUCACCAACCCCAAUGUUCAGUGGUGUGAGUUUGUCAGCCAUUGGCCAUUAUGGGCAUUGUAUAUAGCACAUUUUGCUAUGAAUUGGUCAAAUUACAUUAUCAUGCAGUGGUUACCAACGUAUUUGGCCCGAAAUCUUGGUGCCAACAAAGAAAGCAUAAGUCUAACUGCUGUACCCUAUGUGGUCAACUCCUUGACAGGAAUUCUUUCAGGCCAUUUCGCUGACACAUUAAUACUACGUCGGUGGACUGUCCUCUCUGUGCGAAGACUGAUGACCAUCCUAGGACUUCUUGGGCCUGGAAUUUUCUUGCUGGCAUUUUGUGCCGUUGACAACAUGCUGGCUGCAGUUAUUAUUGUUUCCAUAUCAAUGGGUAUGUGUGCUUGCAAUUCAGCUGGACAUCUUAGCAAUCAUGCUGACAUUGCUCCAAAUCAUGCAGGAGUGACAUUUGCCAUUUCAAAUACACUGGCAACAAUCCCAGGAAUUUUAUGUGGACCUUUGACUGCAGAAUUAGUGACACAAUCUCAUGGAAGAUGGUUUCCUGUAUUUGUUUUGGCUGCAGGCAUCAACUUCACUGGUGCUAUAAUUUAUGUGAGCCAAAGCUCAGCUUCACAAGUUCUAUGACCUCAUAAUCAUAUCACAAGAUCAAGAUGCUCUUCAUUUCAGAACGAAAAUUAAGAUUAUCCACAUGUGAUAUAAUGUUUCUUCAAGAUGAAUUAUUGAAACAACCUGAAAGAAUUCAGGCUUUUUGAGUGGGUUUUAAUGGCAUUGGGGCUAGGUUUUGUACUUAUUCAGUGAAAUGCUGAAUAUGACAAUGGACAGGGUACUCCUGCGAAAUGAUACCUCACAAGAAUGAGAUCCUCUAGUCUCCAGAAGUGUGAAAUCUGUGUGUGUUCUAUGUUUAUUCUUGUAACAUUUGGGGUGUUCCUCCAAACAGCAUGCUGGGGCAUGAAGGCACUUUUCAAGUUACUUUUGUGAUAUUGAGCUAGUUUUUCCAUUUAGAUGCUCUGAAUAGCAGAAAAAGAGAUGCUUCUGAUAUUUGGACGAAUUUAAGACUUGUGGCAGCAUUAUUUUGCCUAAAAAUUUCAUUUACAUUAAGUUGACAUAAAAAUAGUGAUAAUUUUGAGAUCUAUUAUGAGGGAAUUAUUAUACAUGCUCACUCUAGAAUUACUCAAGUGAGAAUCACCUCCAUUUUUCUGAAUCAUAUUUCACCUUAACUUCGUAACUAAUUGAUGUAGGUGAAACCUUUCCUUUUUGUUGUGUAAUCCUUGUUGGUCCGUGAUAGAGUGCCAAAGAUCGAGGAUGGCACUGGACCAGGAAUGACUUGAAGAAGGGGUGCGGAGAAGUUGUUUAAAUACAGCAGGUGAUGAAAUUUCAAACAAUCAUGAAUAAUUUGCUUCCUUAACUGGAGUAUUUGUGAAAUUAUUUCGGUUGUGGAUGAUAUCAAAGAUUAAUGUUUAUCUUAUCACCUAAUUUAUCCAUAUAUUGUGAUGCUCUAUUAAAAUAGCAAUCAAUUUUCUUGGCUUAAGGCGUGCCUGGAGUUGCACCAUGGCACUCCUAAUGUCCAUCCAUCCCCUCCGCAACUUAAUUAUGUCUUUGAGCAAGUUGUACUCUGAGAUUAGUUAUUGUAAAAAAAUGGACUGUAAAUAUAGAGGAAAAUAUUUUA
rnacentral:misc_RNA from 1 species